UCCCUGGUGGUCCAGUGGUUAAGACUCCAUGCUUCCAGUGCAGGGCAGCACAGGUUCGAUCCCUGGUCGGGGAA
rfam:Ovis aries breed Texel chromosome 16, whole genome shotgun sequence.